GAUGAAAAUGUUUUAUGCUAUUGCCCAUCCCAUGCUCAAGCACAGAUUUUUUAUUCCUACAAAAAUCCCUUGUUGAUUUUAAGUUGGAACUGAAUUCAAGUUAAACUAAAUAUACAGUAUACUUUUCUAAGUCAAGAAAUCAACAUUUGGAUGAUCUAAAAAUUAGUACCCUGGAUGGUUCUGUUAGAGAACGUGUUCCCUCUUACAAAUACCUUGGGAUUUGGUUUUAUGAACACCUUUUUUCAAAACUCAUAUUACUGACUUAGUGAAGAAGCUAAGAUUUAAAAUUGGUUUAUUUUAUAUAAACAAAUCAUGCCUGUCUUACCAGCAUAGAGUUGACAUUGUAGAACCUACUUUUAUGUCAGUACUUGACUAUGGUGAUAUACUGUAAUAUGUAUGCUUCAGUCUCUGUUGAAGUCUCUUGAUGCAGUCUAUCAUGCUGCUGUGUGAUUUAUUACUGGUGCCAAUUUUAACACGCACUAUUGUCUUUUGAACCUUUUAGUGGGCUAGCCACCCUUUUCCGACUGAGGACCAUGGCCUCGGAUUUGGAGGUACUGAUUUUCAUCCCCACCGCUUCACACUCGGCUGCAAACCGUCCAAGUGCAUGCUGAAGGUCCUGGCUUGAAGGGGCCAACAUGAAACAUCAUCCGCAAAGAGCAGAGACGAAAUCGUGUGGUCCCCAAACCUGACACAUUUAAAACAAAUAACUGCCUUAUUAAUUGCCGGCUAUAAUACCAAGUCAACUGACUCAAGAGUGGCCUACUGUAAACUAGGCAGCGUUUAUACCGGUAGUAGCGAGGAAUCAUGCGUGAGCAGUUUUACAGCAGAAGACUCCUAAGCGGAUCCGCCUCCAAGUCGCGGAACCCGCGUUACUGUCACAUUCGUUUUGGCGCCGCCCAGAGGAUCAGCUCCGCCUCGGGGCAGCGCGGUAGAUUCUACUGUCAGACACUGGCGGCUUCAGUUUUCACCAAUGGAAAAGAGCGAAGGGGCGUCGUCCAUUUUUUUUUUACAGUCUAUGCACUGGACCCGUGUCGGAUCCGCAGAAGUGGACGCGCCUUUACUGUCGGUUGAAUUACAGUAGCUAUACCAAGAGCCGAGACAAGAGAGUCAUAUAUCAGUGGAGAUUUUCUUUCCUGGGACACGGUUGCGCUGAACUAUCUGAGAUGCCUUUUCAUCUAAUUGAAUUUCAAGCAAGCGAGGACAUUGCUGUAGUGCCAGUUGACUGGUAUGAUGACGGGAUGGUGUACUGGCCCAGCUUUAAGAGCACUGAACGUGUGAAACGGGCAGCUGCAAACGAGGAGAAGCAAGAUAUGACGUAAAGGUUGUCAGAACUUGUGACAACUACAAAGACGCCAUCAGGCAAAUGAAUCAAUAUGAGACCGACUGCAACACCUCUGAGCUACAGUCUGAGGCAGAGCAGGAGGGUGAGCUGCCAGAGAAACGAGUCAGGAAGCCAAUCCAUCGUUUUGGGGACUCUGAUGAGAGUGAAGAAGAAAAUUGUGACUUAGCUUCUCUGAGGUCGCCACGACCUUCCAACUCGGUUGGUGUAUCAGUUGGAGCCUCAAGCCCAAACCAAUUACACUGGCAGACUCCACCAUCUCGCCGAGUGCCAAGCAGCAGAGUCACUACUCCUCAACCUGGAGGAAACUGUCUAGCACCUGACCAUGGUUUCAGACCCCAACACCCUUCACCACCUCAACUCCCUGCACCUGCAUUUAACAUGAGGGGUGUUUCUCAAGGAACGGCAGUCCCUCCGCAACUCCCUCCACCCCCCGCACCAGCCCUCAACAUGAGGCGAACAAAGGAGCCCUCUUCAAGCCUGGCCUAUAGACCAACAUGGCGAGGGGGAAUAAUGACCGAUACCAUUCCCUGCUCUGCGGCUGAGGUCCACAUCCUUAGCCUGCUGGAGACCAUUAAACAGCAACAAGACCAGCUUGUGGCAAAGGUGAACUACCUCAGCAGCAGGCUGAACAGCAACCCCGGGGCCAGAUGUUGAGAUGCCGGACAAUAUCCAGUUUCCCCUGGAACAAUUGGAGGCAGUGGAGGCAUUUGAAAUGUUUUUAAAGGAACCGUCAAAUGGCCCAGCUCGACAGAGAGUGAUUUCUUCUUUGGCCACCAUUGAAGGUCAGGAUGUGAAGAGGGUGACCUGGAACAUCCUGGCCAGGCUCUUCACGGAUGAGGUGCUGUGAGGAAAAACACAGUGACACUCAGCCACAGACGCAGAGGUCACCAAGCACGUAAUCAGGUGGUUCAACCUGGCAGCGGAUCGGGCAACGAGGAGACGUGUCCCGCCUCUAGCCAGACAAAUGGAGUAAUAGGAG
ensembl:lncRNA